UCAGAUGAGGGAAUAAAAGCAGGCUGCCCCAGCUGUGUGUGGCAACCGGCUGCGGUGGGUUUGUGUGGUGUGGAGGGUUUGUUUUUUUUUUGCUCUUCCCAAUAAUAUUUGUUGCUUUUCGUUGAUUGGGUUCUGGCUACCUUUAUGAGCCGUAACACUCACUGUGAAGGUUUGCAGCUUAUUCCUGAAGCCCGCGAGACCAGGAACCCACCAGAAGGAAAAAAUUUGGGAUAUAUUUGAACAUCAGAAGGAGCAAACUCCGGACCCACCAUCUUUAAGAACUGUAACACUCACUGUGAGGGUCUGCAGCGUGUUCUUGAAGUCCGGGAGACCAAGAACCCACCAAUUCCGGACACAUUGGAAAAUGCGGCCAUCUCCAUGGUUGUUGAGGUUGUCCUUUUCAGGAUAAAGGAUCAUACUAUAUUUCAGAUUUGUCUGCCUUAAUUUGGUGAUUGCAACUAAACAGUGUUUCCUAUUUGUACCAACAAGAAGAAUUUUAAAAAUUAUUCUUUAGAACAGUUUUAUUCAUUCAGUCAUGAACAUUCCCAGACAUUUGUGGCCUUCUGGAUUCUGAAUAAGAAGAUCUACUGGCAACAAAUUCCCUCAAGAUUUCUGUUGUUGUUGUUGUCAUCUGAUAGUCUUUGUACUUCAGUAUGAGAGGAUAAAUUUGCUGGAUACAGAAUUCAAGAAACUUGGGCCAGCUCCUGUUCAGUUCAAACUGGUUGAGACCACUGACACUUCAAUGGAGCCUGUGCAAGUGCCUGAGAGGUGGCCUUUUGACUUCAGAAGGCCCAAAGUUCCACCCUUAUGUUAUGCUAAUGCCGCCUUUCUAUACAUAUGUCCUAUGAAAUACUAUGAACCCUGUGCAGAAUGAACCUGUUACUUCAUUUUCCCCCACUGCCAAUCACCUUUCCUCACCCUGUGUCCCUAACCCAUAAAUAUCCCUCAGCCUUAUCUUCAGGGAAGUGGAUUUGAAAACUAUUC